rnacentral:rRNA from 1 species
UUAAGCGACUAAGCGUACACGGUGGAUGCCCUGGCAGUCAGAGGCGAUGAAGGACGUGCUAAUCUGCGAUAAGCGUCGGUAAGGUGAUAUGAACCGUUAUAACCGGCGAUUUCCGAAUGGGGAAACCCAGUGUGAUUCGUCACACUAUCAUUAACUGAAUCCAUAGGUUAAUGAGGCGAACCGGGGGAACUGAAACAUCUAAGUACCCCGAGGAAAAGAAAUCAACCGAGAUUCCCCCAGUAGCGGCGAGCGAACGGGGAGGAGCCCAGAGCCUGAAUCAGUGUGUGUGUUAGUGGAAGCGUCUGGAAAGGCGCGCGAUACAGGGUGACAGCCCCGUACACAAAAAUGCACAUGCUGUGAGCUCGAUGAGUAGGGCGGGACACGUGGUAUCCUGUCUGAAUAUGGGGGGACCAUCCUCCAAGGCUAAAUACUCCUGACUGACCGAUAGUGAACCAGUACCGUGAGGGAAAGGCGAAAAGAACCCCGGCGAGGGGAGUGAAAAAGAACCUGAAACCGUGUACGUACAAGCAGUGGGAGCACGCUUAGGCGUGUGACUGCGUACCUUUUGUAUAAUGGGUCAGCGACUUAUAUUCUGUAGCAAGGUUAACCGAAUAGGGGAGCCGAAGGGAAACCGAGUCUUAACUGGGCGUUAAGUUGCAGGGUAUAGACCCGAAACCCGGUGAUCUAGCCAUGGGCAGGUUGAAGGUUGGGUAACACUAACUGGAGGACCGAACCGACUAAUGUUGAAAAAUUAGCGGAUGACUUGUGGCUGGGGGUGAAAGGCCAAUCAAACCGGGAGAUAGCUGGUUCUCCCCGAAAGCUAUUUAGGUAGCGCCUCGUGAAUUCAUCUCCGGGGGUAGAGCACUGUUUCGGCAAGGGGGUCAUCCCGACUUACCAACCCGAUGCAAACUGCGAAUACCGGAGAAUGUUAUCACGGGAGACACACGGCGGGUGCUAACGUCCGUCGUGAAGAGGGAAACAACCCAGACCGCCAGCUAAGGUCCCAAAGUCAUGGUUAAGUGGGAAACGAUGUGGGAAGGCCCAGACAGCCAGGAUGUUGGCUUAGAAGCAGCCAUCAUUUAAAGAAAGCGUAAUAGCUCACUGGUCGAGUCGGCCUGCGCGGAAGAUGUAACGGGGCUAAACCAUGCACCGAAGCUGCGGCAGCGACGCUUAUGCGUUGUUGGGUAGGGGAGCGUUCUGUAAGCCUGCGAAGGUGUGCUGUGAGGCAUGCUGGAGGUAUCAGAAGUGCGAAUGCUGACAUAAGUAACGAUAAAGCGGGUGAAAAGCCCGCUCGCCGGAAGACCAAGGGUUCCUGUCCAACGUUAAUCGGGGCAGGGUGAGUCGACCCCUAAGGCGAGGCCGAAAGGCGUAGUCGAUGGGAAACAGGUUAAUAUUCCUGUACUUGGUGUUACUGCGAAGGGGGGACGGAGAAGGCUAUGUUGGCCGGGCGACGGUUGUCCCGGUUUAAGCGUGUAGGCUGGUUUUCCAGGCAAAUCCGGAAAAUCAAGGCUGAGGCGUGAUGACGAGGCACUACGGUGCUGAAGCAACAAAUGCCCUGCUUCCAGGAAAAGCCUCUAAGCAUCAGGUAACAUCAAAUCGUACCCCAAACCGACACAGGUGGUCAGGUAGAGAAUACCAAGGCGCUUGAGAGAACUCGGGUGAAGGAACUAGGCAAAAUGGUGCCGUAACUUCGGGAGAAGGCACGCUGAUAUGUAGGUGAAGUCCCUCGCGGAUGGAGCUGAAAUCAGUCGAAGAUACCAGCUGGCUGCAACUGUUUAUUAAAAACACAGCACUGUGCAAACACGAAAGUGGACGUAUACGGUGUGACGCCUGCCCGGUGCCGGAAGGUUAAUUGAUGGGGUCAGCGCAAGCGAAGCUCUUGAUCGAAGCCCCGGUAAACGGCGGCCGUAACUAUAACGGUCCUAAGGUAGCGAAAUUCCUUGUCGGGUAAGUUCCGACCUGCACGAAUGGCGUAAUGAUGGCCAGGCUGUCUCCACCCGAGACUCAGUGAAAUUGAACUCGCUGUGAAGAUGCAGUGUACCCGCGGCAAGACGGAAAGACCCCGUGAACCUUUACUAUAGCUUGACACUGAACAUUGAGCCUUGAUGUGUAGGAUAGGUGGGAGGCUUUGAAGUGUGGACGCCAGUCUGCAUGGAGCCGACCUUGAAAUACCACCCUUUAAUGUUUGAUGUUCUAACGUUGACCCGUAAUCCGGGUUGCGGACAGUGUCUGGUGGGUAGUUUGACUGGGGCGGUCUCCUCCUAAAGAGUAACGGAGGAGCACGAAGGUUGGCUAAUCCUGGUCGGACAUCAGGAGGUUAGUGCAAUGGCAUAAGCCAGCUUGACUGCGAGCGUGACGGCGCGAGCAGGUGCGAAAGCAGGUCAUAGUGAUCCGGUGGUUCUGAAUGGAAGGGCCAUCGCUCAACGGAUAAAAGGUACUCCGGGGAUAACAGGCUGAUACCGCCCAAGAGUUCAUAUCGACGGCGGUGUUUGGCACCUCGAUGUCGGCUCAUCACAUCCUGGGGCUGAAGUAGGUCCCAAGGGUAUGGCUGUUCGCCAUUUAAAGUGGUACGCGAGCUGGGUUUAGAACGUCGUGAGACAGUUCGGUCCCUAUCUGCCGUGGGCGCUGGAGAACUGAGGGGGGCUGCUCCUAGUACGAGAGGACCGGAGUGGACGCAUCACUGGUGUUCGGGUUGUCAUGCCAAUGGCACUGCCCGGUAGCUAAAUGCGGAAGAGAUAAGUGCUGAAAGCAUCUAAGCACGAAACUUGCCCCGAGAUGAGUUCUCCCUGACUCCUUGAGAGUCCUGAAGGAACGUUGAAGACGACGACGUUGAUAGGCCGGGUGUGUAAGCGCAGCGAUGCGUUGAGCUAACCGGUACUAAUGAACCGUGAGGCUUAACCUU